rnacentral:tRNA from 1 species
GCCGAAGUGGCGGAACGGCAGACGCGCUGCGUUCAGGGCGCAGUGGGCAGAAGCCCGUGUGGGUUCAAAUCCCACCUUCGGCACCA